UGGUGAGAACCCCGUAACUGAUGCGGAUGCCCGGUGCUUUGUGAUACACUUUCGAAGAGUCGAGUUGUUUGGGAAUGCAGCUCAAAUUGGGUGGUAAAUUCCAUCUAAAGCUAAAUAUUGGCGAGAGACCGAUAGCGAACAAGUACCGUGAGGGAAAGAUGAAAAGCACUUUGGAAAGAGAGUUAACAGUACGUGAAAUUGUUGGAAGGGAAACGCAUGAGGUCAGACUUGCUAUUUGGAAUUCAGCCGCAAGGUGUACUUUUCAAUUCGCAGGCCAGCAUCAGUUUUCGGGGGUGGAAAAGGGUAGAGAGAAGGUGGCUGUUUCGGCAGUGUUAUAGCUCUUUACUGGAUUCAUCCUUGGGGACUGAGGAACGCAGCGCGCUUUUUGCAAGGCUUUCGAGCUUUUCGUGCUUAGGAUGCUGGUGGAAUGGCCUUAUACGACCCGUCU
rnacentral:rRNA from 1 species